CAACUAAGACUAUUUUUCCCUGUUAGCAAGUACAGACAGAAUUGUGUAGUAUGCAUCAAACAAAUCUUUCUUCCUAAAUGAUGGCAAGACUAAGAAUAAAAAAGAGAAAGACUCUGAGCCAGGUGCCAUUUUUACUGAUGGAAGGGCACAAAAAAAGAAAAUGUGAAAGCAAAGUUAUGAGAUAUGGAGGCUAGAAGUUAAAGUGCCAACUCCAGGUAAAAGGAAUUCUAGGAGAGAAGGAACUAUUUUGAGAAAUAAUCAAGGUGAUUUUUUUCAGGAUUAAAGAAAUAUAAAAUACUUCUGAUU
rnacentral:lncRNA from 1 species